UACGGGGGGGGCAAGCGUUGUUCGGAAUUACUGGGCGUAAAGGGCUCGUAGGCGGCCAACUAAGUCGGAUGUGAAAUCCCCAGGCUCAACCUGGGAACUGCAUCCGAUACUGGAUGGCUUGAAUUCGGGAGAGGGAUGCAGAAUUCCAGGUGUAGCGGUGAAAUGCGUAGAUAUCUGGAGGAACACCGGUGGCGAAGGCGGCAUCCUGGACCGGGAUUGACACUGAGGCGCGAAAGCCAGGGGAGCAAACGGG
rnacentral:rRNA from 1 species